GGUGUGGUAGCGGAAUGGUUACGCAGCAGACUGCAACUCUGCAUGGAUGCUGGUUCGAGCCCAGCCCACACCUCCA
rnacentral:tRNA from 1 species